GUGCCGGUGAGAAGCAGGUCACCGGGAUCGACCUGCUGGAAGCGGGCCAGUGUUCGCGCGGCCUCGAGCGGACCGUAGAUCAUGUCCGCGACGGUGCU
rnacentral:tRNA from 1 species